UACGUAGGGGGCUAGCGUUGUUCGGAAUCAUUGGGCGUAAAGGGUGCGUAGGCGGGUCUUUAAGUCAGGUGUGAAAUCCUGGAGCUCAACUCCAGAACUGCCUUUGAUACUGAGGAUCUUGAGUACGGGAGAGGUGAGUGGAACUGCGAGUGUAGAGGUGAAAUUCGUAGAUAUUCGCAAGAACACCAGUGGCGAAGGCGGCUCACUGGCCCGUAACUGACGCUGAGGCACGAAAGCGUGGGGAGCAAACAGG
rnacentral:rRNA from 1 species